rnacentral:rRNA from 1 species
AUGACCUGGCGGCAGCUUACACAUGCAAGUCGAACGGUAACGGGGAGGGAGCUUGCUUUCUCUGCCGACGAGUGGCGGACGGGUGAGUAAAGCUUGGGAAUCUGGCUUAUGGAGGGGGAUAACGACGGGAAACUGUCGCUAAUAUCGCGUAGAAUCGGGAGAUUAAAGUGCGGGACCGUAAGGCCGCAUGCCAUAGGAUGAGCCCAAGUGGGAUUAGGUAGUUGGUGGGGUAAAGGCCUACCAAGCCUGCGAUCUCUAGCUGGUCUGAGAGGAUGACCAGCCACACCGGGACUGAGACACGGCCCGGACUCCUACGGGAGGCAGCAGUGGGGAAUAUUGCGCAAUGGGGGCAACCCUGACGCAGCCAAGCCGCGUGAAUGAAGAAGGCCUUCGGGUUGUAAAGUUCUUUCGGUGAUGAGGAAGGCGGUUAGUUUAAUAGGCUAAUCGAUUGACGUUAGUCACAGAAGAAGCACCGGCUAACUCCGCGCCAGCAGCCGCGGUAAU